rnacentral:rRNA from 1 species
GAGGGUUUCCGCCCUUCAGUGCUGCAGCUAACGCAUUAAGCACUCCGCCUGGGGAGUACGACCGCAAGGUUGAAACUCAAAGGAAUUGACGGGGGCCCGCACAAGCGGUGGAGCAUGUGGUUUAAUUCGAAGCAACGCGAAGAACCUUACCAGGUCUUGACAUCCUUUGACCACUCUAGAGAUAGAGCUUCCCCUUCGGGGGCAAAGUGACAGGUGGUGCAUGGUUGUCGUCAGCUCGUGUCGUGAGAUGUUGGGUUAAGUCCCGCAACGAGCGCAACCCUUAUUGUUAGUUGCCAUCAUUUAGUUGGGCACUCUAGCAAGACUGCCGGUGACAAACCGGAGGAAGGUGGGGAUGACGUCAAAUCAUCAUGCCCCUUAUGACCUGGGCUACACACGUGCUACAAUGGGAAGUACAACGAGUCGCAAAGUCGCGAGGCUAAGCUAAUCUCUUAAAGCUUCUCUCAGUUCGGAUUGUAGGCUGCAACUCGCCUACAUGAAGCCGGAAUCGCUAGUAAUCGCGGAUCAGCACGCCGCGGUGAAUACGUUCCCGGGCCUUGUACACACCGCCCGUCACACCACGAGAGUUUGUAACACCCGAAGUC